AUUGAACGCUGGCGGCAGGCCUAACACAUGCAAGUCGAGCGGAUGAAGGGAGCUUGCUCCUGGAUUCAGCGGCGGACGGGUGAGUAAUGCCUAGGAAUCUGCCUGGUAGUGGGGGAUAACGUCCGGAAACGGGCGCUAAUACCGCAUACGUCCUGAGGGAGAAAGUGGGGGAUCUUCGGACCUCACGCUAUCAGAUGAGCCUAGGUCGGAUUAGCUAGUUGGUGGGGUAAAGGCCUACCAAGGCGACGAUCCGUAACUGGUCUGAGAGGAUGAUCAGGCACACUGGGACUGGGACACGGUCCAGACUCCUGCGGGAGGGAGCGGUGGGGAAUAUUGGACAAUGGGCGGAAGCGUGGUCCAGCCAUGUCGCGUGGGUGAAGAAGGGUUUGGGGUUGUAAAGCCUUUUUGUUGGGAACGAAAAGCAGCAGGUUAAUACCCCGCUGUUCUGACGGUACCCAAAGAAUAAGCACCGGCUAACUUCGUG
rnacentral:rRNA from 1 species